CCGUUUAGUGCAAAGUUUAGUGCGAUUGUGGUUAUGGGUAGGUCAUGGGUUUUGAGCCCAGCCAGGUUUAUCAGUAACUGCCACCUCCCUUCCAUGGAUUAACUGACUUUACUGAGGUUCGCCUGAUGCCUGGCCCCACAGUUAGCACUCAGUAAAAGUUAGCUCUCCCCGAACUUCAAAAGAAGGAGAUCACUUUCAUCAACUCUGCAGGCCUAAGUUCGAACAAUCUCAGCAGGUGCAGUCAACUGGCCGCCUCCUUGGUAGGAAGGAAGCAAUUAACAGGCCGAGUCUUGUGUUUUGUUGCUGUUGGGGGUGGGGAGGAGGGGAGGAUUCACAAGAGCCCCAAAAAGGGCUGUGUCAGGGAAACACAGAGCUGAAGGCAGAUCAAGUGUGCUAGAGAGGGUUUCGUUUUGGAGGGGUCGGCUGGGGACACGAGUGGGGCGACCUGGGGUGUGUGAGAGCUGCUGGGGCUCCUGGACCUCCCAGACACCGCAGCCCGGGGACCAGGAGAGGAGGCCACCACAGCUCCUGCCACCUGUUGCCUCCCCUCCAGCACAGUGCUCCACGCCUCCUUCCCCUGAGCUUGCAACCCAGGGAGGGUGAGGAACCGAUGGCUCUGGCCACCUCGAGGAACCGCCUGACGAUCAGUACGACCAACAGUCAGUGCCCACCGUCUCCACCGGUCACCAGGGUGGAGUGUCCGGGGCCACCGGGGGAAGCGAGACCUCCUGCUCUCCUGACUCCUCCAGCUCAUGCGCAGCUCCAGCAUCGUUACUGCCACUCCCCUGAGCCUGGCCUCUCACUCCUAGGCUUGGUGCCUGACCCCAGAGGAGCCCUAGAGAUCCUAGCACAAGGCAGACCUUCCGCCGCAGAGCAAAAUAAGAUCCUUCGAGAAUGAUCUGGAGCAGCAGAACGCAGUCCCCUGUUUUAAACCCUCAUAAACAAGCUCAAUUGGGUGAAAAGCGCUGGUGGCAGCGCGGGCCUCUCUGGGUUUCCCUUCUCUGCUUGAUUCUUCUUUUUGAUAAGAGAUCAGGUAACCAUGACAACAUGGCACCGUGGAAGUCCUUUCAUUUCUGCGCUUUACAUAAUCCUGAAAAUAAAUCUGCUAUC
rnacentral:lncRNA from 1 species